UUGUCGAGGUGGUCAAUCGCUUGGGGCAUCUUCGGGUGACCCCAAGAGGAAAGUCCGGACUCUAUAGAGCAGGGAGACCGACUGUAAUGGUCGGUGGUAGCUGUGCAAAACAGCUAGAUGGAGAGUGCCACAGAAAUAAACCGCCACUUCGGUGGUAAGGGUGAAAAGGUGAGGUAAGAGCUCACCGGCGAAGUGUGAAAACACGCGUGUCAAGGUAAACCCCUCCCAGAGCAAGCCCAAAUAGGCGGAGAGGUACUGCUCGUACCAUUCUUAUCCGCGGGUUGGGUGCUUAGUUAAAUGAUUGACGCCCGCAAGGGUACAGAACUCGGCUUAUAGCCUCGACAAAUUC
rnacentral:RNase_P_RNA from 1 species